CUCUCUGAAAAUGAAUCAGUCUGCCGUGAAGCUUUCAUCCAUGUAUACGGGUGCACUAUCCUUCUGACCAUAUGCAGCCAGGUCCCAUCUACUUUUUAACUCCUCGCAAGUGUGGCUUGUUUGGUUUCUGCUGUGAAAGAAUACCAUAACAAUUCAACUACUUGAUUGAUGAAGGCAUGUCAUCCAGCAAAGGCAGCAGUGCAGUCAUCAACUACAUGCACCAUUUCUUCACCAACUAUGGAGUGUGUGCUCUGGUAUUGUGCCUGGCGGACCCUGCACAAGCUCCACCACAGUCUGGACCUUCACUUCCUGAUCACAGGCCACACCAAAUUUGCCCUCAACUGGUGCUUCGGCCUCAUAAAGCAGCGCUUCAGAAAGACCAGAGUGAACACUUUGUCUGAGAUUGCUGGUGUUUUGAAGGACAGCACUGUGACAGGGGUCAACAUCCCACAGCUGGUUGGACUGGAGGAUGGUACGGUGCUGAUGUAACGGUGCUGAUGGAACGGUGCUGAUGGAACGCUAUGGCUGGCAACAACACCUGACUCCGUACUUCAGGCCGCUGCCACAGAUCAAGCUGUACCAGCAUUUCAGCUUCGAUGCACUGGAGCAGGGUGUUGUUGUUGCCAAGGAGUGUUCGGAAUCAGUCAGGACCAGGUUUCAGCUGCUGCGCAAUGCUUACAUCCUUCCUCCCAUAAAUGGUCUGCCUGUACAAGCACCACCUGGACACAGCUAGACAAACUUAUCUUUUUGAGAGGGUCAGGGAGUUUUGCGACAAAGAGGCUAUGGACAUCACAUGCCCUGCACCAAAGUCAAGGGCAGGACAGAAACAGGCUUUCCAAAUAUAGAUUCCCUUCUUCAUGCGUAGUUCGGACGGACCAGUCAUCAGCACUAUCUGCAGUGCCUCUAUUCAAAUGACUCUCUCCUAACACACGCCAUACGUUGCUGCUACAAAAAAGAAAUAUCCUGCUGCUCAGACACUUUACCCCUGAUUCUAUGCAUACAACUACCUCGUUUAUCACUAUCGUUAUUGAUAUUGUUCGUGUACAUACUGUAUAAUAUUUUAUUUAUAUUGACACUAUCUAUUCUGAUAUUGCUACUACUAUGCAAGUUACCAUUUGGCUGUACCGUUACACCUUCUGUAGAGACCAUCCACUUAGCAAGACUUAGCAAAAUAUUGAUAUAUAAAAUUAAUAUUGAUAUGUGUGGUCGUAAUAUAGUUUGGGACAUAGCACACAGACUCACUAAACACAAAUGCUUCGUUUGUAAAUUAUGUCUGAGUGUUGGAGCGUGCCCCUGGCUAUCUGUCAAUAAAAAAAAAUUGGGCCAU